GUGGGGAAUAUUGGACAAUGGGGGAAACCCUGAUCCAGCGACGCCGCGUGGGUGAAGAAGGCCUGCGGGUUGUAAAGCCCUUUCAGUGGGGAAGAAAAGCCUCGACCUAACACGUCGGGGUCUUGACGUAACCCAUAGAAGAAGCACCGGCUAACUCUGUGCCAGCAGCCGCGGUAAUACAGAGGGUGCGAGCGUUAAUCGGAAUUACUGGGCGUAAAGCGCGCGUAGGCGGCUUUGCAAGUCGGGUGUGAAAUCCCCAAGCUUAACUUGGGAACUGCAUUCGAGACUGCAUUGCUAGAGUAUGGGAGAGGGAAGUGGAAUUUCCGGUGUAGCGGUGAAAUGCGUAGAUAUCGGAAGGAACAUCAGUGGCGAAAGCGACUUCCUGGACCAAUACUGACGCUCAUGUGCGAAAGCGUGGGGAGCAAACAGGAUUAGAAACCCUUGUAGUCC
rnacentral:rRNA from 1 species